GGGCUGGGGCUCAGUGGCAGAGUGCUUGCCUGGCAUGUGUGAGGCACUGGGUUCGAUCCUCAGCACCACA
rnacentral:tRNA from 1 species